AAGUAAAAUCUUAAAAAAAAAAAAAAAAGUGAUGAUAUGAUAAAGUAUCUGCUCCUUUAAAAAGGCAUUAAGAGCAAGGUCUAGUACUACAUGUUGGAGAGGCAGUCCACAUGGGUCCUGAUUGUCCCUGUACACUUUUGCUGAGUGUGCCAGACUGCACGGCUUCUCCAUUGCUUGAAACUGAGCAGCAUCAGUAGCUAAACACUUAGGCAACCAGACUAGCUUAUAUGCUGCUUGCCUACAUUUGUUGCUUGCUCAAAAAUACACCAGCCCUGAGCCCUAAAUUCCUGUCUUCUAACAAAAUCUGCUACCUGUGUCCUUGUGAUCUGCCCCACCCCUCACCCACCAUCCCUGUGGAAAUAGAAAUCAGGGAAACUGCACAAAUACAUUGAUACUCUGGCUACCCCUUUUUGCUGUGAAUAAUAAAGUCUGUCAUCUCGGACUCGGGAGUUCUGUGUCUUCUCUCAUGAUCAUUGAAACUGGCAAGCUGACUUGUUAGCUUGCAGGUUGGGUAAAAUCUCAGAGCCUUCACAGCUCUGACCUUGCAUUAAUUUUAAAAUAGUGGUGAGCAUAAAUGAUAUUUUGAGAUAGAUAUGAUAGAUCUAAUAUAGAUUGAAAAUACCUGUAAUUUUUAUUGGUGACCAGUGGUCAUAAUUUUUAGGGGUGACAUGGCUACAGUCACUGUGGUUUUGCUUAUAUUCCUAGUUGAAGGAAAUGUUCAAUUUCAGUUAUAAGUUUAGGAAAACAAAUAUCAGGUUUUUUUCUCAUUUGAAUUCACAGAUCUUGUCCUCUCUCAACUCCCCAAAAGAACACCCGUGAAACCUGUUAAUCAAGCAACAUAAUUCUAUUAGAUAUUUACUGCAGCAAGGGAGAAUAACACCUUGAUAGAGAUUGGUAGUGUCUCAGAAAGGAGAUUUCAGGAAAGGACAUAUAUAGGAUUUGGGGGUCUGGGUGCAAGUGGUUUAAAGUGGUUUUCCAAAGCAAAAAAUUGAUGGGGAUUGGGCAGUCUGGGAAAAGUAAGACAGUUUAGGACUCAUAGACUCAGAGAAGCAAGGGUCCUGAAACAAGUCUUGAUAAAUAAACUUUGUCAUAAUGGUUAGUUCUUUGCCUCUGUGUGUGGUCAGUGGUCUUGAUAGGAAAGCAGUCAUCUGUCAUGUCCAGAUGAGCAAACUAUUUGCCCAGAUAAAUUAAUUUCUUGAGCUAGCAAUUAAUCUAUUUAUCUUCCUAGGCAAGAAUUUUCUGGAACAGUUGUGUCAUGUUGAUAUGGGUGGUGUCAGUUCUUACUCAACAAGACCAGCUUCUUAGCCUGAAAUCCCCUUUCUCAAAAAAAUGGAGGCCUGCCUACUUUUGCCUACUUUUGCCAUCUAUCCUUUCCAUACUUCUUCAAAAUCCAAGAUGUAUUAGGGCACAUCUCACUGCAAGCACUCAGUGCCACAUGUGGCUUAGUGGCUAAUGUAUUGGGCCAGCAAGGCAGGUUUAGAGAAUGAAGAGAGAAGUGGGUGACUGGGGUCCUGUUGCCACUUGCUGUCCUAACACUGGCUGCUGAAACAAGUCUCUGCCAACCUCAGGCAAGCACAUCACAUGAAAAAGCUAUUGGGCAUCAUGAUUUCUGGAUGAAGAAACUCCCAGCCAUCCGGGUUGAACACAAACUUGAUUCAUCAUGAGGAUACGCGAUGGUCACCUCUGCUACAGUCCGGAAGGUAAUCUUGCUGAUCCUACUGCCAGGCAGAGUGCAACUACUUCCAGAAACGCUGUGUGGUUUCUAAUAAGGUGACAUAUACACUCACUGUAUGACCCAGCAAUCCCAUUUACCCAAGAGGUACUUAUCUAAGAGAAAUAAACAUUUGUCCACACAAGGACUUGUAGGUGAAUGUUUUAGCAGCUUUAUCAUAAUAGCCCCAAACUGGAAACAGCUCAGAUGUCCUUCAACUGGAGCAUGAAUUACAAAUGGGUUCAUCUAAGCAGAAUUCUGCUCUUUAAUAAAAAGAACUGGAUUCUUGAUAUAUAAAACAACACAAACGCCUCUCAAAAGCGUCAUACUGAGUGAAAGAAUCCAGUUGGAAAAAGCUAGAUGAUUUGUAUUUAUAUGGAAUUUAAGAAAAAGCAAAACUACAAUGGUGUGAAGAAGUUCAGCAGUUGGGCUGGGGAAAGUGGGAGGGAGUGACUAAAAGGGGCACAGGGGAAUUUUGUGAGGUGAUAUGAUUCUUCUGUAACAUGACUGUGGUGGUGGUUACGUGAAAAUAGACACUUCUCCUGUCUUAUUGAAUUGUGCUUAAAAUUAAAGAAUUUCAAUGUGUAUUAAUCGUACCUCAAUGAAGCUGACUUUUUAAAAAAAAAAUUAUGUAACUUGCAGCUGUCAUGUUUGUCUCUCAGUAAAACCUAAGACUCACGAAGCUUACUG